GUAGCAGGUUAUAAGAUUAAUGUACAAAAAUCAGUCAUAAUUCUAUACACUAACAAGAAACUAUCAGAAAGAGAAAUUAAGGAAACAAUCCCAUUUACAUUCACAUAAAAAGAAUUUAGCUAGGAAUAAACCUAU